rnacentral:sRNA from 1 species
GAUGAGAAGCUUCGAAUAAGGUUCGACUCGAGCGAAGCGAGAGAACGUUGCCGCAGGCAACGGCCCGAAGGGCGAGGCGCUUUAGCGCCGAGUAAUCCUUCCCCCACCACUG